CAGGACCCCUUUCUUCUCCUGCCCCCGCUGAAAAGAUCCAUCCGCGUGAUCGAUGUAACCAGCAGGAUGGACGUCAAAAUCAGCCAAGUGUGUUUCCGUCAGUCAGGCCAUUCCCACGUGUCCCGAGGCGCCGUGUUCAUCGUCUUCGCCGGAGCUGAUGUCUCUUGG